rnacentral:misc_RNA from 1 species
AAGUCGUAACAAGGUCUCCGUAGGUGAACCUGCGGAGGGAUCAUUAUUGGAUUUUUCUAACCUCAGAAGGGGUGCCUCUCUUUGGAGAGGGCCUUUCUGAACAAACAAACAUACAUGACUAACUAGGAAACAGACAGAGAGUGUGUCGUCUCGAAUGAGAGAAGAGAGGCACUAACAGAAAAGUUCUUGGCUGAUAAGUAGAAUGAAUGGUAUUCACAACAGCUAAUACAACUUUCAACAACGGAUCUCUUGGCUCUCA